UACGGAGGGUGCAAGCGUUAUCCGGAAUCAUUGGGCGUAAAGCGCGUGUAGGCGGCUCGAUAAGUCCGUUCUGAAAGUCCAGGGCUCAACCCUGGGAUGCGGAUGGAUACUGUCGAGCUCGAGUCCGGAAGAGGCGAGUGGAAUUCCUGGUGUAGCGGUGAAAUGCGCAGAUAUCAGGAGGAACACCAAUGGCGAAGGCAGCUCGCUGGGACGUGACUGACGCUGAGACGCGAAAGCGUGGGGAGCAAACAGG
rnacentral:rRNA from 1 species